rnacentral:rRNA from 1 species
GAUGAACGCUGGCGGCGUGCCUAAUACAUGCAAGUCGAGCGAACGGACGAGAAGCUUGCUUCUCUGAUGUUAGCGGCGGACGGGUGAGUAACACGUGGAUAACCUACCUAUAAGACUGGGAUAACUUCGGGAAACCGGAGCUAAUACCGGAUAAUAUUUUGAACCGCAUGGUUCAAAAGUAAAAGACGGUCUUGCUGUCACUUAUAGAUGGAUCCGCGCCGCAUUAGCUAGUUGGUAAGGUAACGGCUUACCAAGGCAACGAUGCAUAGCCGACCUGAGAGGGUGAUCGGCCACACUGGAACUGAGACACGGUCCAGACUCCUACGGGAGGCAGCAGUAGGGAAUCUUCCGCAAUGGGCGAAAGCCUGACGGAGCAACGCCGCGUGAGUGAUGAAGGUCUUCGGAUCGUAAAACUCUGUUAUUAGGGAAGAACAUAUGUGUAAGUAACUGUGCACAUCUUGACGGUACCUAAUCAGAAAGCCACGGCUAACUACGUG